AGACGGAGGGCGCAAGCGUUGUUCGGAAUUACUGGGCGUAAAGGGCAGGUAGGUGGUCUGUUAAGUCUUCUGUGAAAAUCCGGGGCUCAACCCCGCGAAAUGCAGGUGAAACUGGCAGACUUGAGACCUGUAGAGGCUAGCGGAAUUCCUGGUGUAGCGGUGGAAUGCGUAGAUAUCAGGAAGAACACCUGUGGCGAAGGCGGCUAGCUGGGCCGGUUCUGACACUGAACUGCGAAAGCGUGGGGAGCAAACAGGAUUAGAAACCCUGGUAGUCC
rnacentral:rRNA from 1 species